UACAGAGGUCCCGAGCGUUGUUCGGAUUCACUGGGCGUAAAGGGUGCGCAGGUGGGUUGGCAAGUUUGAUGUGAAAGCCCCGGGCUUAACCCGGGAAUGGCAUUGAAUACUGCUGAUCUGGAGGAUCGGAGGGGGGACUGGAAUUCUUGGUGUAGCAGUGAAAUGCGUAGAUAUCAAGAGGAACGCCAGUGGCGAAGGCGAGUCCCUGGACGAUACCUGACACUGAGGCACGAAAGCCGGGGGAGCAAACAGG
rnacentral:rRNA from 1 species